UGUCUCUUUUCUCUGCAUAUGGAAGAUAUAUAUCAACAAGUGGAGCUGAGAGGGGACCCAGUCAGUAAAGUGCUUGAGGACCUGAGUUCAAAUCCCUGGCACCUAUGUGCAAGUCUGGGCAUGGCGGUACACCAGCUGAUUAUCACAGUUACAAGGAGAGCCCUAGGCCUUGGUGCACAGCCAGUGUGGCUGUGUUAGUGAGCUUCAGGGCUUUGUCUCCUAAAUGCUGCACCCUCACCCAGUACCACCAGAGGCCAAGGACCAGGCCCUCAAUGCCUGAGCUUCAAGAAGCACUUCCUCAAACCACAGCGGAGCCAAUGAGAGAAGUGACAGCUCUGUUUAGAGGCAAACAUGGGCCCAGGGACCAGCGGGGAUGCCCCAGGCAGGGCCAUGCUCUCCUGCAGCAAUUACAUGACCAUGUCAACACCCUGCAUCAUUAAAUGAACUGCUUCCCCCAGA